GGCGGAGGUGGCGUGUCCUGGCGACCGCAAAAUCGCGGUGCUCAACAUCCACACAACACCAGGCACCGAGGUGCUCGAGUCCGGCGUGGGUGUGCGC
rnacentral:rRNA from 13 species